rnacentral:misc_RNA from 1 species
GAUGAAGAACGUAGCGAAAUGCGAUAAGUAGUGUGAAUUGCAGAAUUCAGUGAAUCAUCGAAUCUUUGAACGCACAUUGCGCCCCCUGGCAUUCCGGGGGGCAUGCCUGUCCGAGCGUCAUUUCUGCCCUCAAGCACGGCUUGUGUGUUGGGUGUGGUCCCCCCGGGGACCUGCCCGAAAGGCAGCGGCGACGUCCGUCUGGUCCUCGAGCGUAUGGGGCUCUGUCACUCGCUCGGGAAGGACCUGCGGGGGUUGGUCACCACUAUAUUUUACCACGGUUGACCUCGGAUCAGGUAGGAGUUACCCGCUGAACUUAAGCAUAUCAAUAAGCGGAGGA